GCCUGGGUGGCUCAGUUGGUUGAGCGUCUGACUUUUAAUCUCAGGGUCGUGGGAUCAAGCCCCACGCUGGGCG